UUGUAAGUGGCAGAGUGGCCUUGCUGCCACGAUCCACUGAGAUCCAGCCCCAUGUCGCACGGAUUCGUCCCUCCCCC
rnacentral:rRNA from 1 species